rfam:Geofilum rubicundum JCM 15548 DNA, contig: JCM15548.contig00093.
AAACCACCUUAAGGUGCUGUGGUAUAGAGCUAUGGUCCUGAGCGUUUAGGAAAAGACUAUCUAUAAGAUAGUACAGGU